rnacentral:rRNA from 1 species
GGGCGAAUACCUCGCAAGAGGGGUGACGGUACGGGUAUAAGAAGCCCCGGCUAAUUACGUGCCAGCAGCCGCGGUAAGACGUAGGGGGCCAGCGUUGUUCGGAAUUACUGGGUGUAAAGGGUUCGUAGGCGGUGUGGCAAGUCGGGAGUGAAAUCUCUGGGCUCAACUCAGAGACUGCUUCCGAAACUGCUGUGCUGGAGUGUGGGAGAGGCGCGUGGAAUUGCAGGUGUAGCGGUGAAAUGCGUAGAUAUCUGCAGGAACACCCGUGGCGAAAGCGGCGCGCUGGACCACUACUGACGCUGAGGAACGAAAGCUAGGGGAGCAAACAGGAUUAGACACCCUGGUAGUCCUAGCCCUAAACGAUCAGGACUUGGGGUGCCACCCGUUCGGGUGUCGUCCCGGAGCUAACGCGUUAAGUCCUGCACCUGGGGAGUACGGUCGCAAGACUGAAACUCAAAGGAAUUGACGGGGGCCCGCACAAGCGGUGGAACAUGUGGUUCAAUUCGACGCUACGCGAGGAACCUUACCUGGGCUCGAAAUGCUUCUGACCAGCUGUAGAAAUACGGCCUUCCCGCAAGGGACAGGAGUAUAGGCGCUGCAUGGCUGUCGUCAGCUCGUG